rnacentral:rRNA from 1 species
UACAGAGGGGGCAAGCGUUAUUCGGAAUUAUUGGGCGUAAAGGGCGCGUAGGCGGCUUGGCAAGUGGAAGGUGAAAUCCCUCGGCUUAACCGAGGAACUGCCCUCCAAACUGCUUCGCUUGAGACCGGGAGAGGUGAGUGGAAUUCCCAGUGUAGCGGUGAAAAUGCGUAGAUAUUGGGAGGAACACCAGUGGCGAAGGCGGCUCACUGGACCGGUACUGACGCUGAGGCGCGAAAGCGUGGGGAGCAAACGGG